rnacentral:misc_RNA from 1 species
UCCCCGUUGCCAGGGCAGUCUGAUUAGAAAAAUACAACUAAUCACAAGGGUUGCGCUCGUUAAUGGACUUAACCAAACAUCUCACGACACGAGCUGACGACGGCCAUGCAUCAUCUGUCACUUGGUUCAAUAAAGCACUCUCGCCUUUCGGCAAAAUUCCAAGGAUGUCAAACCCUGGUAAGGUUCAUCGGUUAUCAUCGAAUUAAAGAACAUAAUCCACCGCUUGUGCGGCUCCCCGUCAAUUCCUUUAUGUUUUAGUCUUGCGACCGUACUCCACAGGCGGGAUACUUAACGCGUUAGCUUCGCUACUGAAGGGGUCGAUACCUCCAACAGCUAGUAUCCAUCGUUUACGGCGUGGACUAC